UAGUCCACGCCGUAAACGAUGAGCACUAGUUAUAGGGGAGGUUACUCUUCUGUGACGCAGCUAACGCAUUAAGUGCUCCGCCUGGGGAGUACGGCCGCAAGGCUAAAACUCAAAGGAAUUGACGGGGGCCCGCACAAGCGGUGGAUUAUGUGGUUUAAUUCGAAGCAACGCGAAUAACCUUACCUAGGUUUGAAAUCCUACGAAUCCCUCCGAAAAGAGGGAGUGCCCUUCGGGGAAUGUAGUGACAGGCGCUGCAUGGCUGUCGUCAGCUCGUGUUGUGAAAUGUUGGGUUAAGUCUCGCAACGAGCGGAACCCCUGUCCUUAGUUGCCAGCAUUAAGUUGGGCACUCUAGGAGACCGCCGGGGUUAACCCGGAGGAAGGUGGGGAUGACGUCAAGUCCUCAUGGCCCUUAUACCUAGGGCUACACACGUAAUACAAUGGGCAAUACAGAGGGAAGCGACCCUGCGAAGGUUAGCCAAUCUCAAAAAGUUGCUCUCAGUCCGGAUUGGAGUCUGCAACUCGACUCCAUG
rnacentral:rRNA from 1 species